rnacentral:lncRNA from 7 species
UUUCUUUAUUAGUCAAGGGGACAGAGUAUGCAGCUAUUGGCAGAGGAUAAAACCAAGCUGGCUGGAGGGGACAACGCUGAGAAGGAGCCACCUCGGUCCCCGGUGAUGCACAAAAGCAGGACUCCGCUUCAGCCUUCGCCCUCCAGCUGCACUCCCCAAAACAGGCGUGAAGCUCUUGCAGCUAUAGAGAUGCAUAACACCCGUGCUGAUUGCUUGUAAAGGAUUGUAAUUUUGGUGCUGUACAGGAAAUCAGAUAUUCCUUCAUGAAGCCCUUCUACCUGAGUUCAAUGUAUUUGCCACAGGAUGUGAUCUUCACUCUACACAUAGAUGGCAAAAUUAGCUGUGGCUUAUACUUCUCUUAUAAAGCAGUUAACAUGCCAGUAAUGACAGAAGAUAACUUUGUAGUGGGAAUUUGAAGGAAACUACUGACAAUUUUAUUUAAUGCUUUUGGAAAUUCAUGUUAAACUGCAAAGCACUGUUGCUGCCUUGUUUCUUGGUCCGUUUCUGCCCUCUGACAAGUUUCCAGGCUCCCCUCAGAACAGGAGAUCUGGCUCUUAGAAAGAAUCCAGUGAACGUGCUUGAUGCAGCAAGCCCAUGGAUUGCAGGAAUUGGCCAGCUUGGCCAAAUUCUGUCAUCUCUAGCAAGAAAGGCUGCUCCGGGGCUUGGUGUGACAGUUCAGAUGGUGCAUGAUGGCUUUAUAUCAGACAUCAGAAAGUAAUGGCCCAUCAGUGUUUGAGACUAUGCAAAUAAAUCAAAACAUUUUCAGGUUCUCUUAAAGCAAUAUUCUUCUUGCAGAAGGGUAAGAGGGAGGAGAUUUCCUCUGCAGUAAGUGCAAUGAUUCCGUAUUGAUGUGUUUGGUUGCCUGUGAGCUGUUCUGCUGACAGUCUACCUGCUUGGGGAACCCCUGUGUGCAGUGAAUGAGUGCUCAGUUCAGGAAGCAGUCUGAUCUGCAUUGUUUCAUAAGGAAUUUAUUGACAGGAGAAGUUCUGGGGCUAUGAUGUUUUGUUGUUGUUUUGCCCUCUCGUGCUGAAUCUCACUGUGAUGAUGGUUUCUGGGUUUAGAAAUAAACCUGCCUGU